UUAACCUCAAAUCAGGUAGGACUACCCGCUGAACUUAAGCAUAUCAAUAAGCGGAGGAAAAGAAACUAACAAGGAUUCCCCUAGUAACUGCGAGUGAAGCGGGAAAAGCUCAAAUUUAAAAUCUGGCGGUUUUGCCGUCCGAGUUGUAAUUUAGAGAAGUGUUACCCGUGUUGGACCGUACACAAGUACCCUGGAAUGGGUCGUCAUAGAGGGUGAGAAUCCCGUAUAUGGUAUGGACUCCCAAUGCAUUGUGGUGCGCUCUCGAAGAGUCGAGUUGUUUGGGAAUGCAGCUCAAAAUGGGUGGUAAAUUCCAUCUAAAGCUAAAUAUUGGGGAGAGACCGAUAGCGAACAAGUACCGUGAGGGAAAGAUGAAAAGAACUUUGGAAAGAGAGUUAAACAGUACGUGAAAUUGCUGAAAGGGAAACGCUUGAAGUCAGUCGCGUUGUGCGGGAUUCAGCCUUGCUUUUUUGCUUGGUUUACUUCCUGUACGACGGGUCAACAUCAGUUUUGACCGGUGGAUAAGGAUGUAGGGAAUGUGGCAUCUUCGGAUGUGUUAUAGCCCUGCGUCGUAUACAUCGGUUGGGACUGAGGAACUCAGCACGCCGAAAGGCCGGGUUUUUUAACCACGUUCGUGCUUAGGAUGUUGGCAUAAUGGCUUUAAUCGACCCGUC
rnacentral:rRNA from 1 species